rnacentral:rRNA from 1 species
CCUACGGGUGGCAGCAGUGAGGAAUAUUGGUCAAUGGGCGCGAGCCUGAACCAGCCAAGUAGCGUGAAGGAUGACUGCCCUACGGGUUGUAAACUUCUUUUAUAAAGGAAUAAAGUGAGGCACGUGUGCCUUUUUGCAUGUACUUUAUGAAUAAGGAUCGGCUAACUCCGUGCCAGCAGCCGCGGUAAUACGGAGGAUCCGAGCGUUAUCCGGAUUUAUUGGGUUUAAAGGGUGCGUAGGCGGCCUUUUAAGUCAGCGGUGAAAGUCUGUGGCUCAACCAUAGAAUUGCCGUUGAAACUGGGUGGCUUGAGUAUGUUUGAGGCAGGCGGAAUGCGUGGUGUAGCGGUGAAAUGCUUAGAUAUCACGCAGAACCCCGAUUGCGAAGGCAGCCUGCCAAGCCAUGACUGACAUUGAUGCUCGAAAGUGUGGGUAUCGAACAGGAUUAGAUACCCGAGUAGUC